AAGAGCAACUGGCUUCUCCAUUUUGCGCUCGGCUCUCCUGGACUUUAUCCGGCCUUCUCUGGAAGUCUUAUUUUUCUGAAGGAAUCUGAUAUGUUUACAGGGUCUCUCUACCCUGUGAGUGUGAGCAAAUUCUUCAAGGGCUUCUUGGGAGACUGCAGAACAUUAGCUCUGCCCCCAGAAUCUGGCACUGGGCCUGGCACAGAGGAGCAGCUCGGUAAUGAUGGAUGAAAAGAAUGGAAAUGAAUUUGCACAUGAGAUGGUUGGACCCACUGCCUACCCCCUCAGGACCCUUCCAGCUUUGACCUUGAGGGGAUCCGAGGUGGUCCCCCAGUUUCCAGGUAGCUCCAGCCAUAUCAGCAGAGUCAACAGAGAGUGCCGUACCAUGGUAGACACUCGGCAAGCAUCUGAUGAAAUCGCUGUGUGACCUUAGGGAGUGGGAAGAGGACAGAGCUCAGAAUAGGGUUUCUGAGUACAAGCCACAGGUUCUAUCACCUACUCUCUGGGCUUCAUUUUCCCCAUCUGUGAAACGGGUUGGUGAUAAGCCCUGCCCCGUUUUCCUCAUGAGAAGAUUGUGAAGAGCAAAUGAAGUGUGAACAGUAAGCUCUGUGUAAACUUUAAAAUGUUGUCCAAGCCUGAUUAUGCAGUAGAAUCAUCUGGAUUUGUUUGUAAAACCUGAAAAACUACCACCACCACCACACCACCACCCAUGUCUGUGCACACACACACACAAAAGUUAGAAACUUAUGAAACAUUGAAGUGAGAUUUUGGUACAUUUGGGGAAGAAAUGAGAUUUCUAGACCUUUCUGGUAAAGGUUUGUGCUGCGUACCAUGCUGCAAGCAUUAUGGAGCUGGUAUGCCAGCCUUCUUCAGUCUUUUUCCUAGGGGUUCACAGGCCCUCUGUUAGCAGUGGCCCCUUGAUCUUCCAGGCUGA
rnacentral:lncRNA from 1 species